AUUGAACGCUGGCGGCAUGCUUUACACAUGCAAGUCGAACGGUAACAGGUUAAGCUGACGAGUGGCGAACGGGUGAGUAAUGCAUCGGAACGUGCCCGGUCGGGGGGGAUAACGCAGCGAAAGAUGCGCUAACACCGCAUCCGAUCUGAGGAGGAAAGCGGGGGACUGUAAGGACUCGGGCGAUCGGAGCGGACGAUGGCAGAUUAGGUAGUUGGUGAGGGAAAGGCACACCAAGCCUUCGAUCUGUAGCUGGUCUGAGAGGACGACCAGCCACACGAGGACUGAGACACGGCCCAGACUCCUAAGGGAGGCAGCAGUGGAGAAUUUUGGACAAUGGGCGCAAGCCUGAUCCAGCCAUGCCGCGUGCAGGAUGAAGGCCUUCGGGUUGUAAACUGCUUUUGUACGGAACGAAACGGCUCUUUCUAAUAAGGAGGGCUAAUGACGGUACCAUAAGAAUAAGCACCGGCUAACUACGUGCCAGCCGCCGCUGUAAUAC
rnacentral:rRNA from 1 species